AGGCAUAGUCAAUUAAGCUGGUCAGGUUCCUUUCCCCGUGAGAGCCUAGUGUGCAGUGGCUCCGAGCUGCUGCCCCUCUUCGUAGUGUGCAGCCUGUUGUUUGUAUGUGUUGCCCUAAGGGACCUUGGAGACAGUU
rnacentral:snoRNA from 1 species